rnacentral:tRNA from 1 species
GGGCCUAUGGUCUAAUGGUAGAACGCAGCAUUCGCAUUGCUGAGAUGGCGGUUCGAUUCCGCCUAGGUCCA